GAAACGACUGCUAAGACUGGAUAGGAGACAAGAGGCAUCUUCUUGUUUUUAAAAGACCUAGCAAUAGGUAUGCUUAGGGAGGAGCUUGCGUCACAUUAGUUAGUUGGUGGGGUAAAGGCCUACCAAGACUAUGAUGUGUAGCCGGGCUGAGAGGUUGAACGGCCACAUUGGGACUGAGACACGGCCCAAACUCCUACGGGAGGCAGCAGUAGGGAAUUUUCGGCAAUGGAGGAAACUCUGACCGAGCAACGCCGCGUGAACGAUGAAGUAUUUCGGUACGUAAAGUUCUUUUAUUAGGGAAGAAUAAAUGAUGGAAAAAUCAUUCUGACGGUACCUAAUGAAUAAGCCCCGGCUAACUAUGUGCCAGCAGCCGCGGUAAUACAUAGGGGGCAAGCGUUAUCCGGAAUUAUUGGGCGUAAAGGGUGCGUAGGCGGUUAAAUAAGUUUAUGGUCUAAGUGCAAUGCUCAACAUUGUGAUGCUAUAAAAACUGUUUAGCUAGAGUAAGAUAGAGGCAAGUGGAAUUCCAUGUGUAGUGGUAAAAUGCGUAAAUAUAUGGAGGAACACCAGUAGCGAAGGCGGCUUGCUGGGUCUUUACUGACGCUGAGGCACGAAAGCGUGGGGAGCAAACAGGAUUAGAUACCCUGGUAGUCCACGCCGUAAACGAUGAGUACUAAACGUUGGGUAAAACCAGUGUUGAAGUUAACACAUUAAGUACUCCGCCUGAGUAGUACGUACGCAAGUAUGAAACUUAAAGGAAUUGACGGGACUCCGCACAAGCGGUGGAUCAUGUUGUUUAAUUCGAAGGUACCCGAAAAACCUCACCAGGUCUUGACAUGCUUCUGCAAAGCUGUAGAAACACAGUGGAGGUUAUCAGUUGCACAGGUGGUGCAUGGUUGUCGUCAGCUCGUGUCGUGAGAUGUUGGGUUAAGUCCCGCAACGAGCGCAACCCUUAUUGUUAGUUACCAGCACGUAAUGGUGGGGACUUUAGCAAGACUGCCAGUGAUAAAUUGGAGGAAGGUGGGGACGACGUCAAAUCAUCAUGCCCCUUAUGACCUGGGCUACAAACGUGAUACAAUGGCUGUUACAAAGGGUAGCUGAAGCGCAAGUUUUUGGCGAAUCUCAAAAAAACAGUCUCAGUUCGGAUUGAAGUCUGCAACUCGACUUCAUGAAGUUGGAAUCGCUAGUAAUCGCGAAUCAGCAUGUCGCGGUGAAUACGUUCUCGGGGUUUGUACACACCGCCCGUCA
rnacentral:rRNA from 4 species